ensembl:lncRNA
UAGGAAUGUUGCCAACAUGCCAUUUUAGGUGAGGCAUGGUAAUAAAGUCUUUAAUAUGUUACUUCAUUUGGCCACUUUAUAUUAUUGAAAAUACGGUUUUAUCACACUUGUUACAUUAGCCGGAUUAGGCUACAUUGUACUGCACUGUAGGGACUUUGUAAUAAUGUUGAUUUAACGUUGUUUUUGUCAUUGAUAUUUGAUCUAUUUGUAGUCGACCAGGUGACAACAACUACGUUGAAAAACAACAAACAACAUCUAUUUAUAGAUGACCAGAGAUCAAAGCUGCGAUCAUCCAAAGAGCCUCUUUCAGUGCACCCCCCUCACAGUGGUACAUCCCUUCAGGUAACCAUUCACAAGUCAUGUACAGUAGAGCGGGACAUUACAGUUACUCUCAGCGGAAUUCACUGGAGAAGGCACAAGUUCAUGCACUGCACUGGCCUGCACCACGAUUAUAAGGUGGAGUAAUGCAUGAAUGGAUAAAAAAGAGUGAGAGGUUAUCAGCUGUUGAGGAGCAAAUGGAGAUCCGUGUCCAGGGGAGUGAGGCUAUUGCGAGUGUGAAAGGUUGUCCAGGAAGUAACUAAGAAGACAUGAACAGAGAGGUGGUGAUCCUCAGAGGAGCGAUGAAGUAGAGCAGCCAGCACCCCAAGUAGAGCAGGCACUGUGGAAAAAUAGUUGUGACUCAACCAGACCAUUACAAAGUAUGGCCUGGAGGAUUUUCAUCUCAAGGUGCAAGAACAUUCUUAAUGACUGUACACGGCGGCUGCUGAUGGACGAUGUUGGGCCAAAUGUGCUACAGUUAGCGUUAAGGAGGUUGGAGACUAUGCAGAGAAGCCUUCAGUGGGCAAGAGGAAGACUGAUCAAUGUAACUGCAGCAGAUCAACUUCUGCGUGACUUGGCUGAAUUGAUUCAGGAGGUCGAACUGUCUACUCAGCAUGGC